rnacentral:misc_RNA from 1 species
GAUGAAGAACGCAGCAAAAUGCGAUAAGUAAUGUGAAUUGCAGAAUUCAGUGAAUCAUCGAAUCUUUGAACGCACAUUGCGCCCCUUGGUAUUCCGGGGGGCAUGCCUGUUCGAGCGUCAUUUCAACCCUCAAGCUCUGCUUGGUAUUGGGCUCCGUCCUCCUCGGACGCGCCUCAAAGACCUCGGCGGUGGCGUCUUGCCUCAAGCGUAGUAGAAACACCUCGCUUUGGAGUGCAUGGCGUCGCCCGCCGGACGAAACCUUUUGUAUUUUCUCAAGGUUGACCUCGGAUCAGGUAGGGAUACCCGCUGAACUUAAGCAUAUCAAUAAGCGGAGGA